rnacentral:rRNA from 1 species
GACGAACCGUGCGAACGUUGUUCGGAAUCACUGGGCUUAAAGGGUGCGUAGGCGGGCUCGUCAGUCAGGGGUGAAAUCCCACGGCCCAACCGUGGAAGUGCCUCCGAUACUGCGAACCUGGAGGGGGAUAGGGGCGCGCGGAACUUCCGGUGGAGCGGUGAAAUGCGUAGAUAUCGGAAGGAACACCGGUGGCGAAAGCGGCGCGCUGGAUCCCUACUGACGCUGAGGCACGAAAGCCAGGGGAGCAAACGGG